rnacentral:lncRNA from 1 species
AACUCAGGCAAAUCACCUUAAGUUGAGGGUGGCUAUCAUAGGGUGCAUAAUGUGAAGUGGGUAUAAAGAAGGGCAAAAUAAGAGAAAAAGAUAGUAGGGCUGGGUGUGGUAGAAAAAGAAAAAGAAAAUUUUGGAAAAAGAAAAGAAAAAGAAAAAGAAAGAAUAAGAGAAACCACACCGAACCUGAAUGUGCAAUAAAUGAAUAAAAACAGAGAAAUAAGGGUGGAGUGAAAAAAUUGGUUGAUAAGUGGACCCCAACAUAAGUGUAGUGCCAAAGAGGCUUAGACACUAAAUUUUCAUAUAUCGUACCAGCUCCCAAGCAUGCAUUACAAGUCGAGUA